rnacentral:rRNA from 1 species
AUGUGCCCAUCUCCGCCAACAGUGUUUGACUUUGACGUACAAGAACUAGACCAAGAAGAGAGAGAAGCGAAAGCCACCCUUCGAGCCAUGGACCCCGCGACGGCGGCCAUGGGCUCCCUCCUCCCCAAGCUGUUCGAGCUCCUCCACGGAGAAUACAAGCUGCAGAAGGGCGUGAAGAAAGAUGUACAAUUUCUCGAGAGGGAGAUGAGGAGCAUAGACGCCGCCCUCCGCAAAGUGGCCAUGGUGCCGCGCGACAAGCUCGACGACAACUCCAAGAUCUGGGCCAAUGAUGUCAGGGAGCUGGCAUACGAGAUGGAGGAUGUGGUUGAGCGCUUCAUGGUGGGCGUCCAGGGCUUUGAGCCCGCCGCUAACCCCGACGGCUUCAAAGGGUUCGUGAAGAAGGUGGCCAGCUUGUUCACAAAAGGCAAGGCGCGCCACCAGAUCGCCGAUGCAAUCAAAGGCAUCAAGGAUCAGGUCCAGCAGGUGGCGGAUCGACGCGACCGGUACAAGAUUGAUGAUGUUGAGACAACUCUACUAGCUGCUUCAACCAUGGUUGACCCUCUGGACCCUCGCUUGAUGGUUCAGUUCAAAGAUCAGAGAGAGCUUGUUGGCAUCGAGGGGCCAAGAGACGAGCUAAUCAAGAGGCUGGCAGGUGAAGAUGGUUGUGUGUCCAGGCAGCAGCUCAAGAUCCUCUCGAUCUUCGGAUUUGGAGGACUUGGCAAGACAACCCUUGCCAGAGCAGUUUACGACAAGAUACAAGCAGAAUUCGUAUGUAAGGCUUUUGUUUCGGUCGGUCAGAAGCCUAAUCUGAAGAAUGUUCUCGUAGGUAUUCUCCUCCGAAUUGACAAAGCCUCUUGUCACAAUGUUACAUUGUUAGAUGAGGUGCUGCUCAUUGAGAAACUCCGAGAACUGCUUACGAACAAGAGGUACCUUAUCAUAAUUGAUGAUAUAUGGGAUAUGAGUUCAUGGGAUAUAAUCAAAUGUGUUUUUACUGAUAGUAAGUGUGGAAGCAGAGUAAUCACAACUACUCGUAUCUUUGAAGUGGCAAAAGAGGCUGGUGACAUUUACAAGCAAGAACCUCUUUCUCCAGGUAGAUCGAAGGAAUUGUUCUGUAUGAGAUUGUCUAUUGGCAAAAGCAAAAGUCCUUAUCAUGAAUCAGUUAAGAUAUCUGAGAAGAUAUUGCAGAAAUGUGGUGGCAUACCGCUAGCUAUCAUUACAAUAGCUAGCUUGUUGGCUAGUAAACCAGUAACAGAUUGGCCUGGGGUCUAUGACUCUAUUGGUUUCGGGAAUGAAGAUAACAAAGAAGUGGAUACCACAAGAAAGAUAUUGCUAUAUAGCUACUAUGAUCUUCCAUAUUAUCCACGGCUUUGCCUAUUGCACCUAGGCAUAUACCCCGAAGAUUAUGAGAUAAAAAAGGACACUUUAAUUUGGAAGUGGGUGGCUGAAGGAUAUGUCCGUGAGGAACCAGGAAAAGGAUUAUUUGAGGUUGGAGAGAGAUACCUCAACAUGCUCAUAGACAGAAGCAUGAUCCAGGCAGUGGAGAGGCCAUAUCACAGCAUCAUAUAUGCUUGUCGUGUGCAUGAUUUGGUACUUGAUAUGAUUCAUUUUCUUUCAGAAGACGAAAGUUUUGUUACUGCAUCGAACAGUAACAUGACAUCUCCACGUACCACUUCUCGUAGGUUGGCCAUAAAUAAUGAAAUCAUAGAGCAGGAUGGAUCUGUCGCUAACAUGAGCAUGAAGCAGGUGAGGUUAUAUAGUGCCACCAUGUGUCACUUUAGUACGUUGCCAGUGCUUUCAAACUUUAAAGCUCUACGUGUGUUGGCUUUAGAAGACUGCACUUUCAUGGGAAGUGAGCGCUCUGUGAAGCCGGAAGAUUCUCCUUAUCAUCUUAAUUAUCUUGGGAGGCUGAUUCACCUGAGGUACCUUGGGUUCUCAGACCGGCUGGUUGGGUUCUCCCUGCCUGGGAUCUCCAUGCCGCUUAUCUUAGAGGUCCCUGAAGAAAUAGGGGAUUUAUGGUUUUUGCAAGUACUGGACUUGGGCAGAACUGGCAUUAAAAAACUGCCUCAAACUGUUGGUCGGCUAACGCAAUUGAAGUGCCUGCGCUUUGGCGGUUCCAGUAUGGAGGUGUUGGACUGCACGAAUUUAACAUCCCUAGAAGAGCUACAGUUGCACCUUGUCUCUCCAGAUUUUCUGAAAGGGCUUGCCAAGCUAAAGGAGUUGAGAAAGUUUAGCCUACACUUUGAAGAGGAGCACGGUAAUAUGUUGUUCAAAGAUUUGAUGGGACAUGUUGCCAAUCUACAAAAACUUCAAGUCAUAAUGGUUACUUGUAGGCAUCGACCGUAUCCUCAGCCUUGGUCCGAUUACACUGGCUCUGUGACCCUUGGGCACCUCCGUCAUCUGACAGUGAAUGGCCUGCUUCCUGGGCUACCAGUGUGGAUUAACUCCUCAUGCCUCCCGAACCUCUGCCACUUGUAUAUGGAACUGACGGCUAUGAAAUCGCAGGAUAUGGAGAUCCUCGGGAGAUUCUCAGAGCUCAUUACUCUCACCGUUCUUCUCUAUGAUUACAUGGCUUUUCCUAACGCCAUGGAGGAGGGUGCAUUCCCCAAGUUGAGAUACUUGGAACUGAAGAAUUUUAACCAACCCAGAUUUGUACUGGGAGCAAUGUCCAGCCUUGAGUGUUUUAGGAUAAUAAUCGGCCUGGAAGGGACCAAUGGCUGGGACUUCCAUAGCCUGGUGAACCUCCCUCGUCUUGAGAAAGUUGAUGCUGAAAUCCUAGGCAACACUACCAUGGGUAUCAACGAAGACGAGUUGCAGGCACAUGAGUCGUUGAAGCAGGCACAUGCAUCGUUGAAGCAUGCAGUUGAGAUCCAUCCCAAUCAUCCCGCACUCAAGUUGCAGAUUUAUCAUAGUUGA